CUACAGCGCCAUCCUGUGCUCAUGAAAUGCUUUUGACUUCAUGAUUAUGACUUGUCAACAAAUGAGCAGUUUCAGCUUUCAGAAGAAAAUAUUGUGUCCAAUCGCCCUCCCUGCUCUCCAGUAACUCAGUGAUCUUUAACAUGAGAAUGGAGGACGAAAAGAAAAGGGAAGCUUCAGCUGGUGAUGAUGAUGAUGAUGAUACUGAGCAACAUCACCAUCUGCUGGCCUGGACAAUACAGCUGCGCCAUACACACAACAUGUCAACAAUGCAAAAUAUUGCUUCAUUUCUGUACAUCAUUGCUGUGCAAACAUAUAUUUAAUUUUAUACUGAGACAGAUGCAGCUCUGAGUUAUUUAAAAGGCAUAAUAAAGUUAUUUAAUCACAUUUAAAGGUCUGGAUCAGGGCACGUGUGUUCUCACUCAAGACCAUUGGAUAAAUAAUUUCUGUGCUCACAAUAACUUAUUUGAGCUUUUGGCUAUUUUAAGAUAUUGUAUUACAGUGCUUGAUUCAUUAUUUAAACUGUAAAA
rnacentral:lncRNA from 1 species